rnacentral:rRNA from 1 species
AUGACACACGUCCUAGUUCACCUGUGCGAAGAGAUUAACGUUUUGGGUCCUGUAUUUCUACACAAUAUGUUCCCCUUUGAGAGGUUCAUGGGAGUCUUAAAGAAAUAUGUUCAUAACCGUGCUAGGCCAGAAGGAAGCAUCUCCAAGGGCCAUCAAAAUGAGGAGGUCAUUGAGUUUUGUAUUGACUUUAUUCCUGACCUUAAGCCGAUUGGUGUUCCUGAAUCGCGGCAUAAGGGCAGACUGGAUGGAAAAGGCACGCUAGGAGGGGAACAAAUAAUAUGUAUGGACGGACAUUCUCUCACUGAAGCACACUACACAGUUCUACAGAAUUCCGCCUUGGUGGCUCCGUAUAUGGAUGAACACAAGAAUUUGCUACACUCCAAACACCCGGAGCGGUCUGAUGACUGGAUUACACGUGAACAAACCAGGAGUUUCGCCAGCUGGUUGCAGACACGUACCAUGCAUGACACCUCUAUUGAAGAUGACCUGUACUUGCUGUCCCAGUUACCAUCUUCGAAUAUAAUGACUUUCAAAGGGUACGAGAUAAAUGGUAAUACAUUUUACACGAUCGCCCAAGAUAAGAAGAGCACCAACCAAAACAGUGGUAUCCGCUUUGAUGCAGAAACCAAGACGGGAAAGGAAACAUAUUAUGGUUAUAUACAGGACAUAUGGGAACUUGACUAUCGACGUGGUUUAAAGGUCCCUUUGUUUCGGUGCAAAUGGAUCAAUAUGACACGAGGCGGGGUAACGGAAGACCCGCGGUACGGAAUGACAACAGUGGAUCUCAACAAUCUUGCAUAUGCAGACGAACCAUUCGUCCUAGCUAAUGAUGUGGCACAGGUUUUCUAUGUGAAGGACAUGUCUAUCAAGCCAAGAAAAAGAAAAGAUAAGGAAGCGAAUGCAUCGUACGAUGAGCCAAAGCGACACAUAGUUCUUUUUGGGAAGAGAAACAUCGUGGGAGUGGAUGACAAGACAGACAAGUUAGAAGAUUAUGAAAAGUUUGAUGAAAUUGCUCCAUUCACAGUGAAUAUUGACUCGAGCAUCCCGUUAAAUGAUGAAGAUUUUCCAUGGUUACGACGCAAAGGAACACACGCGAAGAAAAAGUUUCACACCCAAAGAUCUGGGAUGUGA